AACGAACGCUGGCGGCAGGCCUAACACAUGCAAGUCGAACGCCCCGCAAGGGAGUGGCAGACGGGUGAGUAACACGUGGGAACAUACCCUUCGGUUCGGAAUAACUCAGGGAAACUUGAGCUAAGACCGGAUACGUCCGCGAGGAGAAAGAUUCAUCGCCGGAGGAUUGGCCCGCGUCCGAUUAGCUAGUUGGUGAGGUAACGGCUCACCAAGGCGACGAUCGGUAGCUGGUCUGAGAGGAUGAUCAGCCACAUUGGGACUGAGACACGGCCCAAACUCCUACGGAGGCAGCAGUGGGAAUAUUGGACAAUGGGCGAAAGCCUGAUCCAGCCAUGCCGCGUGAGUGAUGAAGGCCCUAGGGUUGUAAAGCUCUUUCGUCAGGGACGAUAAUGACGGUACCUGAAGAAGAAGCCCCGGCUAACUUCGUGCCAGCCGCCGCGGUAAC
rnacentral:rRNA from 1 species